rnacentral:tRNA from 1 species
CUAGCUGUGGCGCAGUUUGGUAGCGCGCUUGCUUCGGGAGCUAGAGGCCCCGGGUUCAAAUCCCGGCAGCUAGACCA